GUAUGUAUGUAUGUGUGUGUAAGUCAGUAUGCGUAUGUAUGCAUGUCUGUCUGUGUGUAUUUCAAUAUGUAUGUAUAUGUUCGUGUCUGUCUGUUUGUUUGUGUGUGUGUGUAUUUAUGUCCUUAUGCGUGUGUGUGCAGUGUGCAUUGGAAUUCAUUAAUAUUGUUUAUUGUCCGGCCCCCAACAGUGUCUGAGGGACUGGAUUAAUAUUUCUCCUUCUUCAAGCUUGAUA